CCUACGGGUGGCAGCAGUAGGGAAUUUUGCGCAAUGGGCGAAAGCCUGACGCAGCAACGCCGCGUGAUCGAGAAGCCCUUCGGGGUGUAAAGACUUGUCAGUGGGGACGAAACUUGACGGUACCUACAGAGGAAGCACCGGCUAACUACGUGCCAGCAGCCGCGGUAAUACGGGGGGUGCAAGCGUUGUCCGGAUUCAUUGGGCGGAAAGGGUUCGUAGGCGGCACUUAAAGUCUGGGGUUAAAGGCAGAGGCUCAACUUCUGUACGGCACGGGAAACUUGCGAGCUAGAAGGCGGUAGGGGGAAAGGGAAUUCCUGGUGUAGCGGUGGAAUGCUG
rnacentral:rRNA from 1 species